GAUGAACGUUGGCGGCGUGCCUAAUACAUGCAAGUCGAACGAGGUGUCUUUGUAGCAAUACGAAGGUAUCCUAGUGGCGAACGGGUGAGUAACGCGUUGGUGACCUACCCCAAAGUGUGGGAUAACAGAUCGAAAGAUCUGCUAAUACCGCAUGUGGUCUUCGGAUUUAGAAACUGAUGACUAAAGGAGCAAUUCGCUUUGGGAGGGACCUGCGUCCCAUCAGCUAGUUGGUGAGGUAAUGGCUCACCAAGGCUACGACGGGUAGGGGACCUGAGAGGGUGGCCCCCCCACAAUGGAACUGAAACACGGUCCAUACACCUACGGGUGGCAGCAGUAGGGAAUAUUGCACAAUGGGCGAAAGCCUGAUGCAGCAACGCCGCGUGUGCGAUGAAGGCCUGGUCGUAAAGCUCUGUCGAACGGGAAAAAGGUAGAUAGGUGGUAGUAAUACGCCAUCUAAGUGAUUGUACCGUUAGUAGGAAG
rnacentral:rRNA from 1 species